UAGUCCACGCCGUAAACGAUGUCAACUAGCCGUUGGGAGCAAUUGAGCUCUUAGUGGCGCAGCUAACGCGAUAAGUUGACCGCCUGGGGAGUACGCCGGCAACGGUAAAACUCAAAUGAAUUGACGGGGGCCCGCACAAGCGGUGGAGCAUGUGGUUUAAUUCGAUGCAACGCGAAAAACCUUACCUACCCUUGACAUCCUCAGAACUUGUUAGAGAUAACUUGGUGCCUUCGGGAACUGAGUGACAGGUGCUGCAUGGCUGUCGUCAGCUCGUGUCGUGAGAUGUUGGGUUAAGUCCCGCAACGAGCGCAACCCUUGUCCCUAGUUGCCAGCACGUAAAGGUGGGAACUCUAGGGAGACUGCCGGUGACAAACCGGAGGAAGGUGGGGAUGACGUCAAGUCAGCAUGCCCCUUAUGUUCUGGGCUACACACGUGCUUCAAUGGCCGUGACAAAGAGUUGCUACUUUGUGAAAACAAGCUAAUCUCAUAAACGCGGACCUCAGUUCGG
rnacentral:rRNA from 1 species